GUAGGAGGUGAAAAUUGAUACCCAUUACCAAGUCGAUGACCAAGCUGUGGUGCAAGGUCGGUAAAAGAAAGAUUUUGAGAAGAACGCUCACUUAGGAAGCUUUGGUGUUCAUUAAGUUGUUUGUCUUAUUUGCUACUUGACGUUGUAGUUAAUUUGAUAACAUUAUGGGAUGACUGUAAAUCCGUUUAGAUUAAUACGGAUAUGUGUAGUUAUGGGCUUUAUAACUUUGGGGGACCCAUAACUGGUUGUAUGUGGUAAAUGAUAUUUGAAUGAAUUAUGUUUUUCCGCAUCAUAAAUUUGUAUGAUAAUAUAAUAGGGUAAAGAGUAUUUUCAAAGAGUGAUACUUGAGAGUUUUCAAUGAAGGUGACGACUGUACGUAAGAAAGGAUAAAAAUAAAUGAAAAAAAAAUUUUAAGGGUAGAAAAUCGGUCGUUACAAUUAUGGUUUCAGAGCAUAGUUUGUCCUGCGGCCUAGGGUAUGACCUUACUUGCUUCUUUGUAACUUAUAAAUGAUGAG